rnacentral:rRNA from 1 species
GAUGAACGCUGGCGGCGUGCCUAAUACAUGCAAGUCGAGCGAACGGACGAGAAGCUUGCUUCUCUGAUGUUAGCGGCGGACGGGUGAGUAACACGUGGAUAACCUACCUAUAAGACUGGGAUAACUUCGGGAAACCGGAGCUAACACCGGAUAAUAUUUUGAACCGCAUGGUUCAAAAGUGAAAGACGGUCUUGCUGUCACUUAUAGAUGGAUCCGCGCUGCAUUAGCUAGUUGGUAAGGUAACGGCUUACCAAGGCAACGAUGCAUAGCCGACCUGAGAGGGUGAUCGGCCACACUGGAACUGAGACACGGUCCAGACUCCUACGGGAGGCAGCAGUAGGGAAUCUUCCGCAAAGGGCGAAAGCCUGACGGAGCAACGCCGCGUGAGUGAUGAAGGUCUUCGGAUCGUAAAACUCUGUUAUUAGGGAAGAACAUAUGUGUAAGUAACUGUGCACAUCUUGACGGUACCUAAUCAGAAAGCCGCGGCUAACUACGUG